rnacentral:rRNA from 1 species
CAAUAGUGUAUAUUAAAGUUGUUGCAGUUAAAAAGCUCGUAGUUGGAUUUCUGAUCGAGACAUCAGGUCGGGUCCGAGAGGAUCAUGUACUUUGAUUUUGUUUUGAUCAUCCUUGGGGAGAGCAUUUCUGGCAUUCAGUUGUCGGGAUUGGGAUCCUCAUCGUUUACUGUGAAAAAAUUAGAGUGUUCAAAGCAGGCCUCGGCCUCUGAAUACAUUAGCAUGGAAUAAUAAGAUAGGACUUUGGUGGUCUAUUUUGUUGGUUUGCACGCCAAAGUAAUGAUUAAUAGGGAUAGUUGGGGGUAUUCGUAUUCAAUUGUCAGAGGUGAAAUUCUUGGAUUUAUGGAAGACGAACUACUGCGAAAGCAUUUACCAAGGAUGUUUUCAUUAA